GGGGAUUUAGCUCAGCGGCAUAAGCACCUGCCUUGCAAGCAGGUGGUCGUGAGAUCAAUCCCUG
rnacentral:tRNA from 1 species